rnacentral:rRNA from 1 species
UACGUAGGGGGCAAGCGUUGUCCGGAAUCAUUGGGCGUAAAGAGCGUGUAGGCGGCCCGAUAAGUCCGCCGUGAAAGCCCAGGGCUCAACCCUGGGGUGCCGGUGGAUACUGUCGGGCUAGAAUCCGGAAGAGGCGAGUGGAAUUCCUGGUGUAGCGGUGAAAUGCGCAGAUAUCAGGAGGAACACCGAUGGCGAAGGCAGCUCGCUGGGACGGUAUUGACGCUGAGACGCGAAAGCGUGGGGAGCAAACAGG